rnacentral:rRNA from 1 species
GACAGAGGGUGCAAACGUUGUUCGGAAUUACUGGGCGUAAAGAGCUCGUAGGCGGUCUGUCGCGUCUGCUGUGAAAACUCAGGGCUUAACCCUGAGCUUGCAGUGGGUACGGGCAGACUAGAGUGCGGUAGGGGAGACUGGAAUUCCCGGUGUAGCGGUGAAAUGCGCAGAUAUCAGGAGGAACACCGGUGGCGAAGGCGGGUCUCUGGGCCGUAACUGACGCUGAGGAGCGAAAGCAUGGGGAGCGAACAGG